rnacentral:rRNA from 1 species
CAACGCCGCGUGAGUGAUGAAGGCUUUCGGGUCGUAAAGCUCUGUCAGAGGGGAAGAAAUGGGUCUGGCUAAUAUCCAGAUUCCUUGACGGUACCCUCAAAGGAAGCACCGGCUAACUCCGUGCCAGCAGCCGCGGUAAUACGGAGGGUGCAAGCGUUGUUCGGAUUUAUUGGGCGUAAAGCGCGUGUAGGCGGUUUCUUAAGUCUGAUGUGAAAGCCCUGGGCUCAACCCAGGAAGUGCAUUGGAUACUGGGAGACUUGAAUACGGGAGAGGGUAGUGGAAUUCCUAGUGUAGGAGUGAAAUCCGUAGAUAUUAGGAGGAACACCGGUGGCGAAGGCGGCCACCUGGACCGAUAUUGACGCUGAGACGCGAAAGCGUGGGGAGCAAACAGGAUUAGAUACCCUGGUAGUCCACGCCGUAAACGAUGAGAACUAGGUGUUGCGGGUAUUGACCCCUGCAGUGCCGCAGCUAACGCAUUAAGUUCUCCGCCUGGGAAGUACGGUCGCAAGACUA